UUCAUGGGUAGAUUGCUCAUGACUUGCAGAUGACCCCUAUUGAUUUUGAGGUCACUAGGUCAAAGGUCAAGGUCACGGUGACCAGAAAUAGUAAAAUGGUUUUCGGAUGAUAACUCAAGAAUGCAUACGCCUAGGAUCAUGAAACUUCAUGGGUAGAUUGAUCAUGACUUGCAGAUGACCCCUAUUGAUUUUGAGGUCACUAGGUCAAAGGUCAAGGUGACCCGAAAUAGUAAAAUGGUUUCCGGAUGAUAACUCAAGAAUGCAUACGCCUAGGAUCAUGAAACUUCAUGGGUAGAUUGAUCAUGACUCGCAGAUGACCCCUAUUGAUUUUGAGGUCACUAGGUCAAAGGUCAAGGUCACGGUGACCCGAAAUAGUAAAAUGGUUUUCGGAUGAUAACUCAAGAACGCAUACGCCUAGGAUCAUGAAACUUCAUGGGUAGAUUGAUCAUGACUUGCAGAUGACCCCUAUUGAUUUUGAGGUCACAAGGUUAAAGGUCAAGGUCACAGUGAC